rnacentral:rRNA from 1 species
AUGAAAAUUCUAAACUGGAACUGUCGGGGGCUGGGUCAAACCCGUACAGUUCAAGAGCUCGUGUGCCUCUCUAAGACGCACCAACCCAAUGUUAUCUUCCUUUCAGAGACUAGAAAAAAUAAAGAAUAUGACGAAGGUUUGCGUUAUCGUUUGGGUAUGAAAAAUGUGGUUACCUUUUCAGCUCAAGGGAAAGGUGGAGGCCUUGUUGUGUUCUGGGAUGAUGUUUAUAACCUGGAGUUG